ensembl:snRNA U6 U6 spliceosomal RNA
GCGGGAGAGACAAAGCCACAUAUACUGAAAUUGGAACGACAGAGAGAAGAUUAGCAUGGUCCCUGAGCAAGGAUGACAUGCAAAUUCGUGUUCCAUAUUUUU